rnacentral:rRNA from 1 species
GUGGGGAAUAUUGGGCAAUGGGCGAAAGCCUGACCCAGCAACGCCGCGUGAAGGAAGAAGGUUUUCGGAUUGUAAACUUCUGUCCUCAGGGAAGAAGGAAGUGACGGUACCUGAGGAGGAAGCCCCGGCUAACUACGUGCCAGCAGCCGCGGUAAUACGUAGGGGGCGAGCGUUGUCCGGAAUGACUGGGCGUAAGGGGCGCGUAGACGGCUGUCUAAGUCUGGAGUGAAAGUCCUGCUUUCAAGGUGGGAAUUGCUUAGGAGACUGGAUGGCUUGAGUGCGGAAGAGGUAAGUGGAAUUCCCAGUGUAGCGGUGAAAUGCGUAGAGAUUGGGAGGAACACCAGUGGCGAAGGCGACUUACUGGGCCGUAACUGACGUUGAUGCGCGAAAGCGUGGGGAGCGAACAGGAUUAGAUACCCCAGUAGUCC